AAUGAAAUACACCUUUUCUACCAUAAAACAAUGAUAAAGAGAAAAUGAAGUUAAGAAGAAAAUUCUUUAUUAAUAUAAGUAAACAACUGUCACUACUCAAAUUAAAAUCCCGUAUGUUAUAUAAUACUUAUCUGGAAGAUUCUAUUUCUAUAAAAGAGUUCCACAGCUAAAAAUUUUUAAAACACUGACUUUACCUUCUUAUUUUACAGGAAAGGAUACAAACCUAAAGAAACUAAGUUAUUUGUUAGUUUGGAUGCCAAAACUUAGACCAUCCACCUUCUAGUAUCAGGUUCUCUUUCUCUCUUGCCAUAUACUACUUGUGUGGCCUUGCACAAAUCCGUCCCUCUAAGCCUCAUCUUUCUAAUAUUUGGCAUGGACUAAGAAAGAACAUUCUCUUUCAUAAAGAAGUAACGUUUUCCUGCUACUGAAGCAAGUGGCAGCAUGGCUUAACCCCAUAUGAUGUCCAAAACAGUUCAGAUAAAAAUAAAAUAAAAAGAGCAAAGUGUUAGAGCAAAAUGUGACAAUUAAA
rnacentral:lncRNA from 1 species